UCCUGGGCCAGCUUCAGCCUCUCUGCGCAGAAGUCUCCCGGAGCCAUGGCUGAGUACUCUUAUGUGAAGUCUACCAAGCUUGUGCUCAAGGGAACCAAGGCGAAGAGUAAGAAGAAAAAGAGCAAAGAUAAGAAGAGAAAAAGAGAAGAAGAUGAAGAAACCCAGCUUGAUAUGUUGGAAUCUGGUGGACAGUAACAAACUUUGGUGAAAUUUCAGGAACCCUAGCCAUUGAAAUGGAUGAGGGAACCUAUAUAAAAGCACUCGACAAUGGUCUUUUUACCCUGGGAGCUCCACACAAAGAAGUUGAUGAGGGCCCUAGUCCUCCAGAGCAGUUUACGGCUGUCAAAUUAUCUGAUUCCAGGGGAAAAAGGCUUUGUUGGCCUCAAAUAGCUGCUUUAUUAGAUGCAAUGAAGCAGGGGACAUAGAAGCAAAAAGUAAAACAGCAGGAGAAGAAGAAAUGAUCAAGAUUAGAUCCUGUGCUGAAAGAGAAACCAAGAAAAACAAUGACAUUCCAGAAGAAGACAAAGGAAAUGUAAAACAAUAUGAAAUCAAUUAUUUUCCCAGUCAUAGGCUGCCUUCAUCUCUGAAGGGACCAGGCGACCCACGGAGUGUCUCAGCAGCCUUGUCAUUGCAUGCAAUCUUCACAGACAAGAUCUCACUGCAGCCACCUUUCUACAGGAGCACAUGUGUGACAUUAUACUGAUGACAUCAUUCUCAGAGAAAAUUCAUUUUACACACUAAGGACACGCAGAUACAAGGAGGCUUACACAAAGGGAAUGGACCUUUCCCCAACACAGUAAUGCAAGGCCCUGCCACUUUGCUUCAAUUCCUGAAAAUUCCUUGGUAAACAUGUGGCUGCUCUAUUCCUGACACUUUCAAAAAAUAGUUAUUCAUCCUCUCAGCAUCCACAAUGUUAAUACAAGCCUAAUAUUACUUAAUUUGUGUUUUGUUUUUUGGAGGCACAGUCUUGCUCUGUCACCCAGGCUGGUAUGAAGUGGCAUGAUUUCAACUCACUGCAGCCUCGACUUCCUGAGCUCAAGCAAUUCUCACAUCUCGUCCUUCCAAGUAGCUAGGACUGCAGGUGUGUGCCACCACACUCAGCUAAUUUUGUUUAUUUUUUUGUAAAGAAAAGGUCUCGCUAUGUUACCCAGGCUGGUCUCAAACUCCUGGGCUGAAACGAUCCUCUUGCCUCAGCCUCCCAAAAUUCUGGAAUUACAGGUGUGAGCGACUGCGCACAGCCCUUUAAUUCUUUACUUGGGGUUCAGGUGACAACAUAUUUCUUAUUUACAAAUUUUACUUAAUCUCACUGAUGCUGUCAUUCGCAAACUGACCCACCUUGAAUGAAGCCUCCUGCAACAAGUCUUGAAUCUGUCCGAAUUUAAAUUAACAGCUGCUCCUAUGAAUUCCCUCAGAGAACACACUGUGGAUGCUUUAGCAACCUCUUCCCAUGACUCCUGAACUAUCUUGGUUGCAUAUGGUGGCCAUAAGUAGUCCAUGGGCUUCUGAUGUAAAAAACAAACCUGCCCCUCUUGACCCUAUUCAGUAUAGCACCAGGGAAGUGAUUGCUGACCACAUACUGGACCCUCUGGAAACAGAGGGCUUUGCAUCCAUAUCCACGAGCUUUCAUGCCCAUUUGUUCAUCAGGCCUUGGGAAGCAGCACCACACAACCUUGGCACAGCUGCAGAGAACUCCUUGCCUCAGGAUGGAGUCAAACCCGGACCUCCUGCCAUUCUCAUCUGCAGGAAACACUGGCCUCCUUCAUCCUCAGGCUGUGUUGCUGGAAGUCACCCGUCUCUGAGUCCCCUUGGGAUCGACUGAGUGACCAGCAGUCAAGUUUGUCCACCUUCUGAGUGGAUGCCAUCAUCUGAUGUGAUGGAGCUCAGUGGGAUUCUGCUGCCUUCCCUCUCUUAGUACGAUGUCCUUGAUAAAGGAUGACACCCAAGCCUCAGCACAACUGGCCAAAGUUGAGGUGGUCAUCUCAGCACUGAUGCUGGGCCAACAAUUA